rnacentral:rRNA from 1 species
GAUGAACGCUGGCGGCGUGCCUAAUACAUGCAAGUCGAGCGAACGGACGAGAAGCUUGCUUCUCUGAUGUUAGCGGCGGACGGGUGAGUAACACGUGGAUAACCUACCUAUAAGACUGGGAUAACUUCGGGAAACCGGAGCUAAUACCGGAUAAUAUUUUGAACCCCAUGGUUCAAAAGUGAAAGAAGGUCUUGCUGUCACUUAUAGAUGGAUCCGCGCUGCAUUAGCUAGUUGGUAAGGUAACGGCUUACCAAGGCAACGAUGCAUAGCCGACCUGAGAGGGUGAUCGGCCACACUGGAACUGAGACACGGUCCAGACUCCUACGGGAGGCAGCAGUAGGGAAUCUUCCGCAAUGGGCGAAAGCCUGACGGAGCAACGCCGCGUGAGUGAUGAAGGUCUUCGGAUCGUAAAACUCUGUUAUUAGGGAAGAACAUAUGUGUAAGUAACUGUGCACAUCUUGACGUUACCUAAUCAGAAAGCCACGGCUAACUACGUG